rnacentral:rRNA from 1 species
AUUGAACGCUGGCGGAAUGCUUUACACAUGCAAGACGAACGGUAGAGUAGCAAUACUUGAGAGUGGCGAACGGGUGAGUAAUAUAUCGGAACGUGCCCAGUCGUGGGGGAUAACGUAGUGAAAAUUACGCUAAUACCGCAUACGAUCUAUGGAUGAAAGCGGGGGACCUUCGGGCCUCGCGCGAUUGGAGCGGCCGAUAUCAGAUUAGGUAGUUGGUGGGGUAAAGGCUCACCAAGCCGACGAUCUGUAGCUGGUCUGAGAGGACGACCAGCCACACUGGAACUGAGACACGGUCCAGACUCCUACGGGAGGCAGCAGUGGGGAAUUUUGGACAAUGGGCGAAAGCCUGAUCCAGCCAUUCCGCGUGCAGGAUGAAGGCCUUCGGGUUGUAAACUGCUUUUGUACAGAACGAAAAGGUUUUUUCUAAUAAAGAGAGCCCAUGACGGUACUGUAAGAAUAAGCACCGGCUAACUACGUGCCAGCAGCCGCGGUAA